UAAUUAUUGAAAAAUUACAUAUUAAAUUUUGUAAAUAUUCUCUACAGGUACCUAGAAGAUCAACAAACCUAGCAGUGAUGGGAGAGUUGGGGCGCUACCCCCUAUCUCUUGAGGUUAUUCUUAAUAUGGCUAAAUUUUGGCUCAGACUCACAGAACAAAAUAACUCUCUCAUUAAAGAAGCAUUUGAAGAGUCUAAAAUUUUAUCUAAAACAUAUAAAAACAAUCGGUUGGAAAGCAUUUAUUCAUUAUUUAAAUAUCUUAAUUUAACCCCAGAAUAUUUGUUAAAUCACAAAUCUCAUAUAAAGUCAAUUAUCAUUAAAAAACUCCGAAUUAAAUAUGAUGAAAUUUGGCUUAACCAAUUAAAUAAUGACAAACCUGGCAUGGUGCAAUGAAAUAAAUUAAGGACCUACAGACUAUUUAAAAAUAAUAUAGGCCUUGAAAAUAUUUUAUUGUUAAAUAAUUGUAAAACAUUAAAUGAGUUAACCAUAUUUAUAAUUAGUGCCCAUGAACUUGAAAUAGAAAAGGGAAGACAUAAGGGAAUACCCCCAGAUAAAAGAUUUUGUAAAUUAUGUAAUAAUGACAUUGUUGAGGAUGAAAUUCAUUUUCUUCUUCAAUGUCCAUCACUUAAAACUGAAAGGUCCAGUUUUAUUUCAGAUUUAUCCUCUAAAUUUACUAAUUUCAAAACUUUAA
rnacentral:lncRNA from 1 species